CAGAGAGUGAACAGCAUACUGAAACACAUCAUCAUCUUCUGAAUCUUUCUUUCUUACUGAAGAGUUUUCCUUUUUGAUCAGUUUGAGUCAACUCUUCCUCUCAGGAAGAAGGUUGUGUGAAUGCGGGAGAUGCCCUAUUGCAUAACAAGAUGUAUCCAGGAAGAGAUGAGCAGAGUAUACCAGGGAUUCUAACUGUGGACUGGAAGCAUGCUCAGUACUUCACAGCUAAAGUUUCCUUCUAUAUAAAGAGAGGUAAGAUAAUCUGUAUUAUUUCUUUCUCUACAGUGUUAGUUUUAGGAAAUUACAUUUUAAACGGCACUUCACAGAGCUAUCCCUUACUAAUUGUAGUGCCCCA
rnacentral:lncRNA from 1 species